GUGGGUCGAGCCGACCGGAGGAUGACCGUUCGGCCAUGCGCCGGCCGUGCUCGACCACGUGCGAGGCGAGUGCGGUCAACAGGGGCAUCGCACCCGGCUGGGUUCGGGGAUCCUCGAUGGAUUCACCCAUCAGAUAGAGCGUUCCCCCUUCGGCGACGAAUGACUCCAGUGCGAGCGUGUCGGCUCGUCCCGGAUUGCAGGCGUCCCGGAUGUGGAUCGAGGAGAGCGCGCCGAGGGCACGGGCGGUCAGUUCCUGGGCCAUGUCCCGGCGUUCGCGGUGUGCGGUGAGCGUGGCCUCCAACUCGCCGGCCGCGCCGCCCGCCGCCUUGGGAUGCGUACGGAGGAUCCGUACGGGCUCAUGGGCCGAGUUGCCCUGCGCCCAGCGGUGCACAUGGCGGAACGGUCGGCCGUCCACCGCGGCGGCGUGCAGCCAGCAGCGGAGCAUCGUCUCCGCGGCCUCCGCUAACGGCCGAUCCAUAGCGUGCAUGGGCCGUACCGGGGCGAGGAGGGCGGUGGCGCGAGCGGCCGCGAUAUCGCGGGAGCCGCAGUCCGCCGCCGGGUUCCAGCGCAGCCGCGCGGGGGUGUCGAGCAGAUGGGACGGGUCGAAGACGUGGGUGGGGCCGAACUUGGCGCGCGCGUCCUUGGUCGUGGACCAGAGCUUGGGAUCGCUGGUGACGACGAGGGCGGGGCCGAUGGCCUCCAGGAUGGUGUGGGCCGCGGACUCGCCGCGCUGGGCGCCGAAGAGGACGUGGGACUGGACGAGUUCGCCCUCGGGGAGGGCGGCCCCCGUCAGCGGGCCGGUGCGGGGGGUGGGGAGCGGCUGCGCGGAGGCCGGGUCGANNNNNNNNNNNNGGAUCUCUGGGCCGAUACUGACGCUGAGGAGCGAAAGCGUGGGGAGCGAACAGGAUUAGAUACCCUGGUAGUCCACGCCGUAAACGUUGGGAACUAGGUGUGGGCGACAUUCCACGUUGUCCGUGCCGCAGCUAACGCAUUAAGUUCCCCGCCUGGGGAGUACGGCCGCAAGGCUAAAACUCAAAGGAAUUGACGGGGGCCCGCACAAGCGGCGGAGCAUGUGGCUUAAUUCGACGCAACGCGAAGAACCUUACCAAGGCUUGACAUACACCGGAAACAUCCAGAGAUGGGUGCCCCCUUGUGGUCGGUGUACAGGUGGUGCAUGGCUGUCGUCAGCUCGUGUCGUGAGAUGUUGGGUUAAGUCCCGCAACGAGCGCAACCCUUGUCCUGUGUUGCCAGCGGGUUAUGCCGGGGACUCACAGGAGACUGCCGGGGUCAACUCGGAGGAAGGUGGGGACGACGUCAAGUCAUCAUGCCCCUUAUGUCUUGGGCUGCACACGUGCUACAAUGGCCGGUACAAUGAGCUGCGAAGCCGUGAGGUGGAGCGAAUCUCAAAAAGCCGGUCUCAGUUCGGAUUGGGGUCUGCAACUCGACCCCAUGAAGUCGGAGUCGCUAGUAAUCGCAGAUCAGCAUUGCUGCGGUGAAUACGUUCCCGGGCCUUGUACACACCGCCCGUCACGUCACGAAAGUCGGUAACACCCGAAGCCGGUGGCCCAACCCUUGUGGAGGGAGCCGUCGAAGGUGGGACUGGCGAUUGGGACGAAGUCGUAACAAGGUAGCCGUACCGGAAGGUGCGGCUGGAUCACCU
rnacentral:rRNA from 1 species